rnacentral:rRNA from 1 species
GAUGAACGCUGGCGGCGUGCCUAAUACAUGCAAGUCGAGCGAACAGACGAGGAGCUUGUUCCUCUGACGUUAGCGGCGGACGGGCGAGUAACACGUGGAUAUCCUACCUACACUUCUGGGAUAACUUCGGGAAACCGGAGCUGACUCCUGCCAAUAUAUUUACCCUCAUGGCUCAAUAUUUAAAGACGGGUCUUCUGUCACUUAUAGAUGGAUCCGUGCCGCAUUAGCUAGUUGGUAAGGUAACGGCUUACCAAGGCAACGAUGCGUAGCAGGCCUGAGAGGGUGAAGGGCCACCACGGAAGAGCGGAGCGGCCCAGCAGACUACGAGGGGCGGCAGUAGGGAAUCUUACGCAAUGAGCGAAAGCCUGACGGAGCAACGACGCGUGAGUGAUGAAGGUCGUCGGAUCGUAAAACUCUGUUAUUAGGGAAGAACAAAUGUGUAAGUAACGAGGCACGUCGCGACGGUACCAAGUAAGAGAGCCACGGAUAACUACG